AUUGAACGCUGGCGUCAGGCCUAACACAUGCAAGUCGAGCGGCAGCGGGAAAGUAGCUUGCUACUUUUGCCGGCGAGCGGCGGACGGGUGAGUAAUGCCUGGGAAAUUGCCCAGUCGAGGGGGAUAACAGUUGGAAACGACUGCUAAUACCGCAUACGCCCUACGGGGGAAAGCAGGGGACCUUCGGGCCUUGCGCGAUUGGAUAUGCCCAGGUGGGAUUAGCUAGUUGGUGAGGUAAUGGCUCACCAAGGCGACGAUCCCUAGCUGGUCUGAGAGGAUGAUCAGCCACACUGGAACUGAGACACGGUCCAGACUCCUACGGGAGGCAGCAGUGGGGAAUAUUGCACAAUGGGGGAAACCCUGAUGCAGCCAUGCCGCGUGUGUGAAGAAGGCCUUCGGGUUGUAAAGCACUUUCAGCGAGGAGGAAAGGUUGAUGCCUAAUACGUAUCAACUGUGACGUUACUCGCAGAAGAAGCACCGGCUAACUCCGUGCCAGCAGCCGCAGUAACUC
rnacentral:rRNA from 1 species